GAUGAACGCUGGCGGCGUGCCUAAUACAUGCAAGUCGAGCGAACAGAUGAGGAGCUUGCUCCUCUGACGUUAGCGGCGUACGGGUGAGUAACACUUGGAUAACCUACCUAUAAGACUUGGAUAACUUCGUGAAACCGGAGCUAAUACCGGAUAAUAUAUUUAACCGCAUGGUUCAAUAGUGAAAGACGGUUUUGCUGUCACUUAUAGAUGGAUCCGCGCCGCAUUAGCUAGUUGGUAAGGUAACGGCUUACCAAGGCAACGAUGCGUAGCCGACCUGAGAGGGUGAUCGGCCACACUGGAACUGAGACACGGUCCAGACUCCUACGGGAGGCAGCAGUAGGGAAUCUUCCGCAAUGGGCGAAAGCCUGACGGAGCAACGCCGCGUGAGUGAUGAAGGUCUUCGGAUCGUAAAACUCUGUUAUUAGGGAAGAACAAAUGUGUAAGUAACUAUGCACGUCUUGACGGUACCUAAUCAGAAAGCCACGGCUAACUACGUG
rnacentral:rRNA from 1 species